rnacentral:rRNA from 1 species
UCCGUAGGUGGAUAAUUAAGUCAGAGGUGAAAGUUUGCAGCUCAACUGUAAAAUUGCCUUUGAUACUGGUUAUCUUGAAUUAUUGUGAAGUGGUUAGAAUAUGUUGUGUAGCGGUGAAAUGCAUAGAUAUUACAUAGAAUACCAAUUGCGAAGGCAGAUCACUAACAAUAUAUUGACACUGAUGGGCGAAAGCGUGGGGAGCGAACAGGAUUAGAUACCCUGGUAGUCC